AGAGUUUGAUCAUGGCUCAGGAUUAACGCUAGCGGCAGGCCUAACACAUGCAAGUCGAGGGGCAGCACGGGGUAGCAAUACUCUGGUGGCGACCGGCGCACGGGUGAGUAACGCGUAUGCAACCUACCUUUAACAGGAAGAUAGCCCCGAGAAAUCGGGAUUAAUACUCCAUAAUGAUUAAGAAUCGCAUGAUUUUUAAUUUAAAGUUCCGACGGUUAAAGAUGGGCAUGCGUGACAUUAGUUAGUUGGUGAGGUAACGGCUCACCAAGACCACGAUGUCUAGGGGUUCUGAGAGGAUUAUCCCCCACACUGGUACUGAGACACGGACCAGACUCCUACGGGAGGCAGCAGUGAGGAAUAUUGGUCAAUGGUCGCAAGACUGAACCAGCCAUGCCGCGUGCAGGAUGAAUGUCCUAUGAAUUGUAAACUGCUUUUCUAAGGGAAGAAACCUAUCCUCGUGAGGGUAGUUGCCGGUACCUUAGGAAUAAGCAUCGGCUAACUCCGUGCCAGCAGCCGCGGUAAUACGGAGGAUGCAAGCGUUAUCCGGAUUCAUUGGGUUUAAAGGGUGCGUAGGCGGAUUAAUAAGUCAGUGGUGAAAUCUUGCGGCUCAACCGUAACAUUGCCAUUGAUACUGUUAUUCUUGAAUGCAGUUGAGGUAGGCGGAAUGUGUAAUGUAGCGGUGAAAUGCUUAGAUAUUACACAGAACACCGAUUGCGAAGGCAGCUUGCUAAACUGUGAUUGACGCUGAUGCACGAAAGCGUGGGGAUCAAACAGGAUUAGAUACCCUGGUAGUCCACGCUGUAAACGAUGAUUACUCGUUGUUUGCGAUAUAUUGCAAGCGACUGAGCGAAAGCAUUAAGUAAUCCACCUGGGGAGUACGUUCGCAAGAAUGAAACUCAAAGGAAUUGACGG
rnacentral:rRNA from 1 species